CAAAAGUUUUUUUAUAGUGCGUUUUGACAACUGUUCGGGCGAAAAUUCAAAUUCGGUACUAGGCUUUAUUAGGUGUUCACAUAUUUGAGUUGAGUAUUAAUAGAUGUCCGGCUUCCCCAGCACAAAUGAAAUGGAAUUACCCCAUACAUCGAAUUCAAGAGCCCUUCAAUAACUUGAGUUAUAAAUCUGAUCUUAUCUCAAGGUAUAUAAAGCCGCCCAAACAUCAUCACUAUCGUCUACAGAAUAAUAAGGCCUGUCAUGUGUUGGUGUGUCCAAAUGCAUUAAAGCCCUGUUAUAAGUAAAAGAUAGAUAGACGAUGGAACCUCGUAUGAACGGAAGGGCGGACGGAAAUAUAUGCUCAGCGAAAAGCCGGAGAGAAAUGACAAUUUGUUGUUGUGUGGUGUGGUGCCAUGUCUUAUGGCACAUGCCUCAUGUCUUUCAAAUUGUUGUCAUCAAAAACUGUUUUCAUUGGAUUGGCGCUUUUAACCCAAACGCAUGGUGGACAAUGCAGCAACACUACCAACUCAUAUUUAAAUAAAGGUUGGCAAAUGGCGUUACCACUUCAUAGCAAUCAAACAGACUUCAACCGGAAAUUUUUAGAGUUUUAUUUUUGCCCUUCACAGCUUAUCUAUCUAUUACUAAAAUACGACACAGCAAUUAUUUACUCUGCUCAAAUCUUGUCAUACAAUAUCUGUGAAGUUAUGAUUACAAAUGGCUGUUUUAAAGAUAUAGCUGUUGCCACAAACUAUUGAAGAAGUGGAAAUCUGUUCAUGUGAUACAUAAAGCCAUAUUUUCACCAAUGCAUUUAAAAUUAUGUGUGAUCAAGAUCUACCGCGAACUUGCUUAUAACGGGCCUAUGGGCCGCCUGUUUGACUAAAAUGAAACUACUGAGUAACGAUACACCAUGAUAACAAUGCAACCUUGUUCAUUAAGUCUAUUUUUUAUUAAUUUUAAAUUUUUUAAUUUUAAAUUGAAUCUGCUUAAACAUCAUGAUGAAAUGCGACACAAUGCAAUGUUCAGCCUUGGAAAAUAACGUGCGGUUAUUGUCUUAGCUUCAAUUACAAAUUCGCCGCAUUAACAUUCACGAAAUAAAAAAUCCCGUGUGGUUUUUAGCUUAGCUUAUCAUAAAAGUGGCAUCACCCAA